AGGGAAAUAAGGACUCAGCAAUCUGCACGAUGGAAAGAGCAGCAGCUGUGGGCUUUGGGCGAGUGACAGUCAUUGCAGGGGUGUCCUGAAAAGCAAGGAGGAGCCAGCAGUAAUGCUUGUGUGGGCUGCUUGCACUGGGACUGACUGGACUGUGGGUGCAGCCUUGGGGACUUUGCUGGGAAGAGACGUUGACAGGGAAGAUGAGGAGCAGGCACCCUCUUCUAUCAUGCUCUGGAGACAAGUGAUGUGACUUUGAUGAAUUAGAGCAGUUCUCCUUGCCUGCCUCAGCCCCUCAGCUGAAAGCUGUUGGGCAUAAGAGGUGGUGCUUGGUACUUGCAGGAGAGUGAGAACCAGACUGUCAUCUGAGGGAGUCAUUGAGCUAUGGAAAGGUCCAGCAUGAGGCCACUGAGAUCUAUUGGGCCACUGUUCAGCAAGGAGUGCAGGACUCCUGAGGACACAGACAAAGUGGAGAGGAUCUUUAUACAGUUCCAGAAUAACCCCAGAUGAAACACCAAAACAUGGCAAAAACCAGAUGCGACUGCCAGAGUUCAUGUCACCUCAUUCUUCAAGAAUAUUGCAUGGAAUGUGCCAGCAAGAAAGGCUUGGAUUCAGUCUAGAUAUUGAAGUUCAUUCUGCUAAAACAACAAAUUGAUGAAAAUCCAAUGGAGGAAAGUGAUGUUGACAGCAGAGCAUGAAGAACCAAGGAAGGCAGAGCCUGACUGAUGCAAAGGGAGGUACCUGAGGGAGAGUUAAGGUCAUGUAGGUAAGAAGGAUCACCUGUGGCUAAGCCAUUUUGGAAGGAUGUUUGCUUGGUUUGCAGCGGUUUCUUUAACACUGAAGACUGUUUUGGUACUUGGAAGACUAAGCCCAGCAAGCAGGACUGGAAAGAUUUUGUUUGUUCCUUUUUUACACCAGGGAAAUAUCUAAUUAUGCAGCCAGGGCAGUUGAACAGAUCCAUGAACGAAAAGUUAAGUAGAUUAAAAAACAUUGAGGGAAAUGGAGGCUAGUUAGCCCUUUCUUUUCUGAUGGAUCUCUUAAAUGAAAUCAUAUUCUAGCACACCCCUCUCAGCUAUGAUCUCACAACUAUUACUAAUGCUUGGUCAUAUGAAAAUAUAAUUUCUCUCCCAGUAAGAAACAAAGGUUUGUCUGUAGCUUCUCCCCUGAGCCUCAAUGACCCCUUGGGCCUGUGUGCUCAAGACUCCCUUAUGUGCUGUUGGAUAAAGCAAUAGGCACGACUUGGUACCAUCCCAUUCUUAACCUCUGAAUCUCUAUCCCAAAGAGGUAGAUAACUUAUGGUCCAGCUGGCAGGGUGCAGCCUCCAGCAAUGCUGGAAUACUACUUUAAUUCAUGCCCCUUGAGCUAUUACAGACAUGCCACUGCAUCCCUAAGAAACACACACAGAUCAUAAAUAAGGUUAGAUGUUAUUUUAAGUAAUAAACACUAAGAUACAGAAAUUUCAUUGCAGCCUUCUGUCUUUGUCUGUCUCUUCGUUUCGACUAUUUUUAGUUUGCAGUCAGCAUUAUGACUGUGAACUCAAGGAACACUUGGACAAUAGGUACAUAAAUAAUUAUGGAUAAGUCUCCAGAGCCUUAAACAUUAGCAGAGAACUUAAGUUAAAUACUGGCUGGUACUAUUCUGUGGCUUGGAAAUACAAACUGUACUUAUACACAUUGCUAUAAUUUUAUUUCCCAUGACCUGGACAUUGGUGGUGGUGGAAGGGUCUGCACAGAAGCUUCAAGAACUUCAAACUGAUGUAUUACUGAACACAAUUCUGCAGAACAAACUGGUGCCAUCUUCUAUGUUUAUCUGCUUAUACUUCUUAGCAGUGAACUUUGAGCUGUCACAGAAAACAUAUUGCACAUCCACAGACAUGCCUGAGAGUAAAAAAAAAGAUUUUUACUGGUUUUCCAAUUGAUAUUUAAAACGUGAGUUCAAAAAAUAGCUUGUAAGGAUAAAAGCUAAGUGUGUAACAAGGAAUAAUGCAUGGCUAGUGCUUUGGGUUGUGAUAAAAAAUAGUAACAGUAAAGAAACCUCAUGUAAACUACUGAACAUUUUCUAGUAACUUGGUUUUUUUCUGCAUGUGUUUUUCAAAGAGGACUCUUUAAUAUUGUUGCCUUUUGAAAAAAAUCUCUUGUGAAGUAUUAGUAAAGUGGUGCAGAAAAGUAUGGUUUUGAUGCAGAGAUAUGAAAAUAAAAGGUUUUUUUCUUAAAUUGCAAUCUGUAUUUAUAAAAGCACUGCCUCUGCAGACAUUGAUGUUGGUAAGAAUGUUGCAGAAUUAUCAUGUAGAUUUUCUUUAUUUGUUCUUAUUUUCUUUUCACAGUCUGUGAGAAUACUUUGAGUCUUUGGAGACCUAGGUCAAGACAGUGAGUAAUAUAAUUGAAGACUUUCACCUCCUGCAGGUCACCCCUGCAAAUGCAAGCCUAGGAAGAAAUAGUAAAAUUUAAGACUCCACUGGCAUACAAAUAAAUGUAUCUCUGCAACUCUGUACAAAGAGAAGCAAGAGGACAAGCUAGGCAGAGCACUGGUUUGAAUGACAGCCUUGAUUAUCAGGGAGGCUCUUUGUUUAUAUCUGAGGCACUUAGUACUCUACACAAUCUCUGCAAUUAAGCAGGCCUGCAUCAAAUGUGAAUCAAUCAGCUUUUCUCCUACUAGGACCAAAACAUUCUACUCAAACCUCCCAUUUCAUGUUGUAUCACUUUGUAAAACCAAGUGGGGUCCCUGGAACACGUCAAGAUCCAGAGUAAAAUCUUUCUUGAUGGAACAGAGUAAUUCAAGGUCUCAUUUUGAGAGGGCAACAAGACCUCAGGUCUUGUAUAUGCUUAAAAAGGGAGCAAUUUUAAUUUACUUUUCUGCCCUUGGACAGUUAACUAGCCUCCAGGUGACAAGUCAGUCUACAAAAUUGUGGUAAAUUCACAGCUACCAAAGGGGGAAGCCCUCCUUUUGCUCCUGCAUCCUCUGCCUGCUAGACCAUGGAGGGAGUCAUUUUAGAUCACUGAAAUGGUAGAAAACUAUCUCAGAAGAUAGGAAAAAAAACCCAGCAGACAUGUAGAAGAUGGCAUUCUGCCAUUCUAGUCAGCUGAACUGGCUUGAGGGAGUCUCUAAGCAGCCCCAGAACAGGUGCAGAGAGAGAGCAGGAAUACUCUUUAUGGCUCUGUGCCAUUAAACCAGUACAUCUGCUUCUGAAAUGGAACCCAGGAGAAUCUUUCUCUGAUUCUGUGGUUGCUGUGCAACAACUGAGGUGUGCUGGGCCUGAAGGAACACAAAGGACAGCAGAGCAAAAAUCUAAAUGCAAGUGGGAGUCUAAAACGUGCUUUUUUAGAGCAUGUGUGUGGCAAGUCCUGGGCUCCUCUCUCUCACACCACCUGUGUGUCUUGUAUUUCUAAUCUGCAAAUAACUGCCCACGAGAUGAGUAUGCUACCCAGAAGACUUCUGACUGCUACAUGAGUGACAGAAGACCAAGCCAACCAUCUUUCUCAGCUAAAUAAUGGCAAUGAGGAGUCAUGAUUGAUUCUGCAGAGGUGACAGACACGUAUCUGGACAAGCUUCCAGGCACCAGUCAUAUAUCGUAGUCGUAUAAAAAGAAGAUCCCUGCCCAUCUGCAGCCAGCUCCAAAAGGGAACUAACUUAGAACCUGUGAUUAAUGAAGAAGAAAAUCAGAACGACAUUGUUAGGAAAAAAAUGAGCACUGGCAAGACUCACAUUUAAGCAGUCACGAACCUCUGCAUUCUCAGCAUACUCAGCCUCACAACCUAGAUUUUAACAUUUACAAAAAAUAUGUAUUUUGAAAGCAAUUGCUUUAUAGUAUUACAUUAUGCCACAGGUGAGACACUCUAGUUUGCAAGCAGCACAGUAAUUCCAUGUGUGUGACAAGAUGCACACUGCUCUCCGUGACAAGCAAAAAGGAACCUGAACACCAUUAACUAAGCAAAUGAUUUAUCUAGCAACUUUGGAGAAGAGGACCACCAACUUGUCUUACAACAAUAAUAUGACGGUACCUAUCUUCAGGCAAGGCAAGGAACCCACAUUACAAAACCAAGCCUUCUACCAUCUCUGCUAAUAUUUGUGUUAGGUGUAACAUACACAUGGAACUGCACUGAAAGGAAAUAUUUCUAGUAAAGUUGGCUCAGGACAUUC